CAGGCCGGGCCCUGGCCUCUACAAGAGGGGGCCACAGUGCCUGGCCCCCUGCUUCCUGCCAGGUCUGUCCCUGUGGAGGAAGGAGCAGCUGAGCGGACUGCAGGAUCCCCUCUCCAAGGUCCUGUUGCAGCCCUACAGGCUGCCAGCGUUCCUCAGGAAGGGGCUGAAGAAGCUGUGGGGGCUGCUGGAAGCUCUCAGCUCCGCGGUGAAACAGUUCCAGAAGCUCCUCCAAACCAUGCUGCCUGCCUUGCCUAGGAGGGCUGUGGCCAGGAGGUGAGGUGAUUGGGGGCUGCAAACCAGGGCAGAGAAAGCCUGGGGGACCUGAGCCGUGGGUCACUGAUGUUGAGUGGGGCAAACCCCUCCAAACUCUGU